GCACCCAUCGUAUAGAGGUUAGUACAGAUGCCCCCCAAGCAUCUAGGUCGGGUUCGAGUCCCGGUAGGUGCA
rnacentral:tRNA from 1 species